GUAGCUUGACUACCACACAAAUGAAUCCACUCAAAUGUUGGCAAGUGGAGCAGAGUCCCAGGAAAGGUACAGAAACACCCCCAGUUCAAGGAUCUUCAUACCUGGAUUUAGGCCUACUCCUGCAACUACCCCAGGAGGCUCUUGGAAACCACCGUGAAUUGGACUGCACUGGAAACACAGAUGAAGAAAGUCAACGCCGCUUUGUCCUUCAAUGCCUGGCUCCUUUUUCAGCUUGUCUUGCGAGUCCAGGGAGGGGCACGCCGCCUUUACCCUGUGCUUCCCACGAUCUUGUCUCCUUAAUCCUCACUGCAGCUCUCUGCCAUAGGGUCUUAUACUGCUUUACAUGCAAAGGGCCUCUGAGGGAGUAUUACAGCCGCCUCAUCCACCAGAAGCAUUUCCAGCACAUCCAGGUCUGCACCCCCUGGCUGGACGGCCGAGGACUACCCCCGCUUCUAGGGUCGGUGGACCUGGGUGUCUGUCUGGACACAUCCUCCAGUGGCCUGCACCUGCCCAUGAAGGUGGUGGACAUGUUCAGGAGCUGUUUGCCUGCGUGUGCUGUGAACUUCAAGUGGGUUUCUCUCUCUGCCACCCAGGCCAGAGUGCAGUUGAUGCAGGGCAGGGGAGCCCCGAAGUGGAGCAUAGUGUGUCCGGAACUGGUGGGUUCUUGGUCUCACUGACUUCAAGAAUGAAGCCGCGGACCCUCGCGGUGAGCGUCACAGUUCUUAAAGGCGGCGUGUCCAGAGUUUCUUCCUUCUGAUGCUCGGAUGUGUUCAGAGUUUCUUCCUUCUGGUGGGUUUGUGGUCUCGCUGGC
rnacentral:lncRNA from 1 species